AAGAAUUUUGAACCAUAUUGAAUUGCCCUACAGAUCUUGUCUCUAGCUUCAGCCUGGUUCAGAUACAAGACUAAUAAACCAAGUUCUGCUCUAGUUGCCUCCAAGGAACUCAUUUUUUAUCAAGAGUACCGAAUGGAGUGCCCAAUGGAUUUAGCCUCGAAAACCACAAUUUCCUUUCUUUUCUUCACUUUCUAUAUCUGAAAAAAAACUCUAUAUCACCCAAACGAGAUAAAGUAAAAUGACAGCGUCAGCAACCUCUGCCUCUUUUUCCUUGUGUG
rnacentral:misc_RNA from 1 species